rnacentral:rRNA from 2 species
GGACGAACGCUGGCGGCGUGCUUAACACAUGCAAGUCGAACGGUGAAGGGGCCUGCUUUUGUGGGUCCUGGAUGAGUGGCGAACGGGUGAGUAACACGUGAGUAACCUGCCCCCUUCUUCUGGAUAACCGCAUGAAAGUGUGGCUAAUACGGGAUAUUCUGGGUCUGUCGCAUGGUGGGCCUGGGAAAGGUUUUUUCCGGUGGGGGAUGGGCUCGCGGCCUAUCAGCUUGUUGGUGGGGUGAUGGCCUACCAAGGCGGUGACGGGUAGCCGGCCUGAGAGGGUGGACGGUCACACUGGGACUGAGACACGGCCCAGACUCCUACGGGAGGCAGCAGUGGGGAAUAUUGCACAAUGGGCGCAAGCCUGAUGCAGCGACGCCGCGUGAGGGAUGGAGGCCUUCGGGUUGUGAACCUCUUUCGCCAGUGAAGCAGGCCUGCUCCUUUUUUGUGGGUGGGUUGACGGUAGCUGGAUAAGAAGCGCCGGCUAACUACGU